ACUCCUACGGGAGGCAGCAGUAGGGAAUCUUCCACAAUGGACGAAAGUCUGAUGGAGCAAUGCCGCGUGAGUGAAGAAGGGUUUCGGCUCGUAAAACUCUGUUGUUAAAGAAGAACACCUAUUGAGAGUAACUGUUCAAGAGUGAUGUGACGGUAUUUCAACCAGAAGCCCAGG
rnacentral:rRNA from 1 species